rnacentral:rRNA from 1 species
AUGGGUCUGGUGGACACUGGAGGUGUCUCGCCAACACAUUUCCUCCCCAAGCUGGCUUUGGGGAUACGUAAAUGCGGCUUCAGGAGCCCAGACAAUUCAAAAUCAAAUGAGGCUCCAGAGAAGAAAUCAACUCAAGCAAACUCAAGCCCUGCCUCGCCGCUGGACUGGCCGGGCUCCCCAACGCAACCUUUCAAGAAGAUGAAGGGGGGAAUCCUGGAACAGAUCAAGGAGGUUCGCCUGAUGCUUGCUGCUGAAGACAAGAAGAUGCUGGCUGUUGAGAGUGACCCGCUCCCCGCUGAGACGCUGGAAGAUUACGUUGCUUAG